AGGGGGCAACCCCUUGAGAGUGGCGAACGGGUGAGUAAUGUAUCGGAACGUGCCCAGUCGUGGGGGAUAACGUAGUGAAAAUUACGCUAAUACCGCAUACGAUCUAUGGAUGAAAGCGGGGGAUCGCAAGACCUCGCGCGAUUGGAGCGGCCGAUAUCAGAUUAGGUAGUUGGUGGGGUAAAGGCUCACCAAGCCAACGAUCUGUAGCUGGUCUGAGAGGACGACCAGCCACACUGGAACUGAGACACGGUCCAGACUCCUACGGGAGGCAGCAGUGGGGAAUUUUGGACAAUGGACGCAAGUCUGAUCCAGCCAUUCCGCGUGCAGGACGAAGGCCUUCGGGUUGUAAACUGCUUUUGUACGGAACGAAAAAGCUCUUAUUAAUACUAGGAGUCCAUGACGGUACCGUAAGAAUAAGCACCGGCUAACUACGUGCCAGCAGCCGCGGUAAUACGUAGGGUGCAAGCGUUAAUCGGAAUUACUGGGCGUAAAGCGUGCGCAGGCGGUUAUAUAAGACAGAUGUGAAAUCCCCGAGCUUAACUUGGGAACUGCAUUUGUGACUGUAUAGCUAGAGUACGGCAGAGGGGGAUGGAAUUCCGCGUGUAGCAGUGAAAUGCGUAGAUAUGCGGAGGAACACCGAUGGCGAAGGCAAUCCCCUGGGCCUGUACUGACGCUCAUGCACGAAAGCGUGGGGAGCAAACAGGAUUAGAUACCCUGGUAGUCCACGCCCUAAACGAUGUCAACUGGUUGUUGGGUCUUCACUGACUCAGUAACGAAGCUAACGCGUGAA
rnacentral:rRNA from 1 species